CCUACGGGAGGCAGCAGUGAGGAAUAUUGGUCAAUGGACGAGAGUCUGAACCAGCCAAGUAGCGUGAAGGAUGACUGCCCUAUGGGUUGUAAACUUCUUUUAUAUGGGAAUAAAACGUUCCACGUGUGGGAUUUUGUAUGUACCAUAUGAAUAAGGAUCGGCUAACUACGUUCCAGCAGCCGCGGUAAUACGGAGGAUCCGAGCGUUAUCCGGAUUUAUUGGGUUUAAAGGGAGCGUAGGUGGAUUGUUAAGUCAGUUGUGAAAGUUUGCGGCUCAACCGUAAAAUUGCAGUUGAAACUGGCAGUCUUGAGUACAGUAGAGGUGGGCGGAAUUCGUGGUGUAGCGGUGAAAUGCUUAGAUAUCACGAAGAACUCCGAUUGCGAAGGCAGUUCACUGGACUGCAACUGACACUGAGGCUCGAAAGUGUGGGUAUCAAACAGGAUUAGAUACCCGAGUAGUC
rnacentral:rRNA from 1 species